UUUGGUCCUCUCUGCCCCAGUCCCUCAGCCGCGGGACGCGCGAGUCGGGCGAGGAUGCCGGAGGCGGGAAGCGGGAGCGGGAACACGCUGCUGCCCUGGCAAGCUUAGAGGGGCGGGCGGAGCAGGGAUUGAGCGCCUACUGUGUGCCUCAGCGCUUUCCAAAAGGAUUUUCGUUAGAUCUUCACUGCAGCGCUUGCCAGAGGGAGUUAACGUCCCAUUUCAAGAGGAACAAGCUGAGCCUGAGAGGUCAAGUCACUCGCGAAAAAUUGCACAGCCAGGAUCAGCGUGACAUCCCAAAUCAGUGCUCAGUUACACUGAAGAGAGCACGACGAACUUGAACCACUUGUUGGCUGAGUCUUGUUCUUGCUCGUGGUGUGUGUAAGCACACAGUAGGUUCUCAGGAAAAUAUUGGAAGACCGGUAAUGAGCUUUACAGCUCAGCCAUGGGAACACCCGCCACUAAUCCAGCCCAACCCUCGGGGCACCGGGUUUCCCCAGUGACCUCGGAAGGGGACACUUGCGCUGGGCGGACAUCUCAGUUAAACACAGGCAUUCGACCUACACGUGGUGGCGGACCCCCAGCCCUACCAGAGGACAGAUCGGGUUCAAGUCCCCGCUCUGCCGCUUUCAGGCUGUGUGACUUUGGGCAAGUCACUUAUCCGCCGGAACCAAAACUAAUCUAUUUAUAAAAUAAGAUAUUAACACCCACCCCCAAGGGUUGUGGGGAGGAUUAAACGAAACAGUGUUCCUAAUACACUUACUAAGUGCCCAAGUAUCUCGCCGUUCACCACACACUCUUCGGGCGCUGCACCCGCACGGGAUGAGACCCAAAGACAAAGCCUCCUCCGCCCCAGUCCCCACGUCGCCCUCCCCUGGAUGCAGGGACCGAUGGGCCUUCGAGUGACCCUCGUCCGGCGAAACCCGAAACUUCGGCCGCGGUUGGUCCCGAAAGCAAAUAUUCAAAUAUUCCGAAAAUGGUGCAUGGCUAGGGCUGACAUUUUUGCGUUUAAUUUUCUUCAAGUUUUAUUCUUGUCAGUAAAAGUAAUUCGUUAGAAACUCCUAAGUGAGACUUCUCGUCUUUUUCUUAACUUUUCGUAUGAGCGAAGUUCACAAAGCGGACCAGGAUACCGGCUUUUGGCAGUCCUCGCAGGGAUCCCGGUCCUCGCAGGAAUCCGGGUCCUCCGGCCGGCCCCGACAACCCCUAGCUCUCGGCCCCCUCCCCCAGGCACGGAAGCAGCAGAGACGGGCCUCCUCCCCGCCGCGCCCGUUUAGAGCUUCUACGUCCUGGCAGCCCUCCGGGAUUCUUGGGUCCUCGCCGGAGUGAGGGAGGUGGAGGGCUGCAGCCCAGGGCUCAGCUUCCCCGACCUCCCCAAACGCCAGUGUCGCUGGGAUUAGGGAGUAAAUCCCUGACGCCAAAGACCAGGUCAAGGACAAGUUCUCCCCCGUCCUACUCCCCCCCCCUCCUGGGCGGGGAUUCACACACACCCCCCCCUCCCGCUUCCCGGAUGAAAGGUACUAAAUAGGCGCGAGGGGAGGGGUGGCGGCGGGUCCUGGCCCCUUGAUGUUCCGGUUGAACAGGUGCGGGUGAAAAGGAGGCGGUCCCGGCGGAAGAGUCGGCCAGGGGGGCAGUGCGCGGAAGAGGGGGGCAACCUCCUCCACCCGCAAGUACCCCUGCCGCUCUUCCCCUCUCCUCUCCGUCUGCCCCUCCCCCGCAGGAAGCGUUCCCGGGCGCAAGGUCUUUGAAGUGUCGCUGAAGCCCUCCGGACUCCCUUCUCCCCUCCGCCACCCCACCUCCCGCGGAGGGAGCGUGACCUUUGGUCCCUGAGGGCGUCCGUCCCCCCCUUUAGGAAGUGGGAAGGGGGAUCAGAUUGCGUCCCCCUGGUCCACUCCGGUGUUGGGAUAAAGCCAUCGGGCUGACGCCCCUCACUUCUUCCCAGACCCAAUGUCAGGCUUUGAUCCUUUGGGGGUGCUGUGUGUGAGUUUAUGUUGUGUGCUGGUGUGUUUGCCUAGAGGUCAAGUGUAACUGUGCUGUUUGCAGGCACUUCCGUAGUCGUGGGUCUUUAACUGGCGUGGGUCUAUAAGCGUGCCUGCGGGGUCGGACCUGAGGUUUGUGUCUCUGGGAGAGUCCGGUGGUGUGGCUGGAUGAGGCUGGGGGUGAGUUUGUGUGUCCGUGGGUGCCUCGGUGUGCUUCUAAGGGGUCUGAGUCCCUGUGCGCGCGCGCCUGAGUCUAUAAGCUGGAUCGGAAGCUCCCUGAGGGCAGGAAUCUAUACCUGUUUUGUAUGUUGUUUCACUGCUCUAUCCCAGCGGCUGCACACAGUAAGCAUUCAAUAAAUAUUUGUGUAAUGAACAAA
rnacentral:lncRNA from 1 species